CGGCGUCGUCCAGGUAUUAGAUGCAUACUCAGUGGAUUUAAUUACUUAGUUUGUUUUUCUGUUAUCACAUUAUUACUAUAAGUGUGAAUUCAGCAUUUAAUUAAUUGAUUAAUUAAGUCUACUGAUUAUAUAUCUGAUACCAGGAGUUUGAAG
rnacentral:pre_miRNA from 1 species